GCCAGUGUGACAUGGUGGUUUGAGUAUUGGACUACAACUCUGAAGACCAGGGUUCGAUACCCAGCUCAGCCA